AGUCGGUUUAAGGAUACGUUCGUUGGGUAGGGGAGCGUUCUGUAAGCCUGCGAAGGUGGCCUGUGAGGGUUGCUGGAGGUAUCAGAAGUGCGAAUGCUGACAUAAGUAACGAUAAAGCGGGUGAAAAGCCCGCUCGCCGGAAGACCAAGGGUUCCUGUCCAACGUUAAUCGGGGCAGGGUGAGUCGACCCCUAAGGCGAGGCCGAAAGGCGUAGUCGAUGGGAAACGGGUUAAUAUUCCCGUACUUGGUGUUACUGCGAAGGGGGGACGGAGAAGGCUAUGUUGGCCGGGCGACGGUUGUCCCGGUUUAAGCGUGUAGGUGUGUGUUCCAGGUAAAUCCGGUUCACUUUAACACUGAGGCGUGACGACGAGGCACUACGGUGCUGAAGCAACAAAUGCCCUGCUUCCAGGAAAAGCCUCUAAGCAUCAGGUAACAUCAAAUCGUACCCCAAACCGACACAGGUGGUCAGGUAGAGAAUACCAAGGCGCUUGAGAGAACUCGGGUGAAGGAACUAGGCAAAAUGGUGCCGUAACUUCGGGAGAAGGCACGCUGACACGUAGGUGAAGUGAUUUACUCAUGGAGCUGAAGUCAGUCGAAGAUACCAGCUGGCUGCAACUGUUUAUUAAAAACACAGCACUGUGCAAACACGAAAGUGGACGUAUACGGUGUGACGCCUGCCCGGUGCCGGAAGGUUAAUUGAUGGGGUCAGCGCAAGCGAAGCUCCUGAUCGAAGCCCCGGUAAACGGCGGCCGUAACUAUAACGGUCCUAAGGUAGCGAAAUUCCUUGUCGGGUAAGUUCCGACCUGCACGAAUGGCGUAAUGAUGGCCAGGCUGUCUCCACCCGAGACUCAGUGAAAUUGAACUCGCUGUGAAGAUGCAGUGUACCCGCGGCAAGACGGAAAGACCCCGUGAACCUUUACUAUAGCUUGACACUGAACAUUGAGCCUUGAUGUGUAGGAUAGGUGGGAGGCUUUGAAGUGUGGACGCCAGUCUGCAUGGAGCCGACCUUGAAAUACCACCCUUUAAUGUUU
rnacentral:rRNA from 1 species